rfam:Danio rerio chromosome 9, GRCz11 reference primary assembly.
GCCCCAGUGGCCUAAUGGAUAAGGCACUGGCCUCCUAAGCCAGGGAUUGUGAGUUCGAGGCCCAUCUGGGGUG